CCUACGGGAGGCAGCAGUAAGGAAUAUUGGUCAAUGGACGCAAGUCUGAACCAGCCAUGCCGCGUGAAGGAUUAAGGUCCUCUGGAUUGUAAACUUCUUUUAUAUGGGACGAAAACAGAUCUUUCUAGGUCCUUUGACGGUACCAUAUGAAUAAGCACCGGCUAACUCCGUGCCAGCAGCCGCGGUAAUACGGAGGGUGCAAGCGUUAUCCGGAUUCACUGGGUUUAAAGGGUGCGUAGGCGGGUAGGUAAGUCAGUGGUGAAAUCCUGGAGCUCAACUCCAGAACUGCCAUUGAUACUAUCUAUCUUGAAUAUUGUGGAGGUAAGCGGAAUAUGUCAUGUAGCGGUGAAAUGCUUAGAUAUGACAUAGAACACCCAUUGCGAAGGCAGCUUACUACGCAUAUAUUGACGCUGAGGCACGAAAGCGUGGGGAUCAAACAGGAUUAGAUACCCUGGUAGUCCACGCCCUAAACGAUGGAUACUCGACAUACGACGAUACACAGUGUGUGUCUGAGACGAAGACAUAAGUAUACCACCCGUACGGAGGUACGUUCGCGAGAAGUAGAACGUACGAAAGAAGUUAGUACGGACGUUAGAGAGNGCCGACGGACGACACGAGGGGAGGUUAGG
rnacentral:rRNA from 1 species